CACCCCUCAACCCCUGCAGCAGUUGAUAGUAAGGAUGUGGUCAAGGACUGUCCCUCUCCUGUUCUGCCUCUGCUUCCAACUCAGAACUAACCAGACUACUCAAAGCCCCACGUGGUGGGCCAUUUCUGCAGAGCAAUCCUCAAUGUGAUCUAAAGACUUAGAUGGAUGCUGAGUGUCCCCAGCGAUAAGCCUUCCUAUUGCUCCACAUCUUUGUCGACAAGUAGUAUUGAGCUAAGUGUUCAAGGGCCCUUGAGAUGCUGAAGAAUAUAAAGAACCUGAGUCUCAUUCGGUCCUUGCAAAAGAACAGAGAAUAGGCCAGGAGCCUCAGAAAUACUCAGCUCUGCUGCAAACAAGGAACAGGAAACGGACACGCACAUAUCCUCUUGCCCUCCAGUCCGUGAAGAAAAACUUCACUUAGCCAUUCUACAAAAUCCAGAGUGUGGCACCUUCAUACCAAUUUAGACAUUAAGUUGGGACUCUGAGGAAGGAGAAAGGAAGAAAAUCCAAGUGGCUGGUGCCCCAACCUGCUAUCUCAAUGCUAGUUCCCGCCUCCUCGACAGGAACAAAGCUCAGAAGGGCCCAGGGAGGCUGGAGGCGUGACUAACCACAUGCAAGUGAGU